UACGUAGGGGGCAAGCGUUAUCCGGAUUUACUGGGUGUAAAGGGGGCGCAGACGGCCAUGGCAAGCCCGGUGUGAAAGGCAGGGGCAUAACCCCUGGACUGCACUGGGAACUGUCAGGCUGGAGUGCCGGAGGGGUAAGCGGAAUUCCUGGUGUAGCGGUGAAAUGCAUAGAUAUCACGCAGAACCCCGAUUGCGAAGGCAGCAUGCCGGCUUCCGACUGACGCUGAAGCACGAAAGCGUGGGGAUCGAACAGG
rnacentral:rRNA from 1 species